UACGUAGGGUGCGAGCGGUAAUCGGAUUUACUGGGCGUAAAGCGUGCGCAGGCGGCCCGUUAAGACAGGUGUGAAAUCCCUGGGCUCAACCUAGGAAUUGCGCUUGUGACUGGCGGGCUCGAGUACGGUAGAGGGGGGUGGAAUUCCUGGUGUAGCAGUGAAAUGCGUAGAGAUCAGGAGGAACACCGAUGGCGAAGGCAGCCCCCUGGGCCUGUACUGACGCUCAUGCACGAAAGCGUGGGGAGCAAACAGG
rnacentral:rRNA from 1 species